UAUUGCGCAACAAUGAUAAUUAAGUAGUCUAAUACUUUGUAAUUUGGGUCAAACUCAUAAGUUAAUGCGUUUGACAACACUCGGAUCACAAUUAUCUCCCCGUUUUUUGGGCCAUUCAGAUAGGCGUAUUCAAUAUUCACACGAGAUAGGUUUGCCUGAAAAACCAAACAACAGUGGACUCCAAUAUCAAUUGAAGCAGCACAGUCUCCGGUGGAUUUGAUCGAUCGCGUCGGGAUGCCUUGAGAGACUUGGCAGAAUUUGGUGUAAAGCUCAAAGGACCACCUUGCAGACAGAGAUAAGACGGCCUGCAGGUUCAUCCGUCAAAGCAGGAGCUCCCUCUGUCACGACCAUAGAUAGAUAUGGUCAUUGCUCACGACCAACAUCCUCUCAGUGAAGACCAGCGACGACCAUCGAGAUCCAGAUGAGGUCUUGUCAUAAACCCUCGAAGUUCCAGAAUGGAGGGAAAAUGGCAGCCAUAUUGGUCAGGGAGAAAUCCAACCCAGUCUAAUUGGAAUGAACGGCAGAAGAGGCAUCAAAAAUGGUAUAAUAUAGUUAUUGUCAACCUAAAAUAUUGUCAUAUAAUCAUAAAUACAGUUUACAGGAUUUAUAUAUGUUAUUGUUAUAAUUAGCUUCUAAAUAUAUGUAAACAGACCAUACAUUUAAUAUUUUUUCUUGGAAAACUGAGACUGCUAUUAUAUGAUAAAAUAUCAGUAGCCUACUUGUUGCAUUUACAACUUGUCAAAGUCCUAUCAUCUACUGAUUUCAGCCAGUGAAUACAUGUGGAUUGACUGCAUUGUUUGAAUGGAAUGUUGUCAGUUCAUUUGAACAAUCAAUGGAAUCAUUCCUCUAAAACUGGGUGGCUAGCUAGCUAACAAACUUACACUGCAGAUCAAUUCUUCAAAUUCAUUUUCACACCAGAUAUUUUACACAAUAUCUUAUCACAGCACUGGCAAACCAUGGUUUACCAACUCUCUGACCAAGAUGGAUGACCUUUAUUCCAUCAAUAGAAGGCUCAUGGCAAUUCUUGUAAUCUGAUUCCUAAUUCUAUUGGGGCCACCUCCAGGCUAGGUUUUGAAACUUUUUCAUAUUUCUAUCUGUCAUAUACUAAAGACAUGCAUGUAAAAUGCAUUUUUUGUGAAUAAAAAAUAAAUAAAUGUUAUCUAGAA